rnacentral:rRNA from 1 species
AACGAACGCUGGCGGCAUGCCUAACACAUGCCAGUCGAACGAGAUCCUUCGGGGUCUAGUGGCGCACGGGUGCGUAACGCGUGGGAAUCUGCCCUUAGGUUCGGAAUAACAGUUAGAAAUGACUGCUAAUACCGGAUGAUGACGUUAAGUCCAAAGAUUUAUCGCCUGAGGAUGAGCCCGCGUAGGAUUAGCUAGUUGGUGUGGUAAAGGCGCACCAAGGCGACGAUCCUUAGCUGGUCUGAGAGGAUGAUCAGCCACACUGGGACUGAGACACGGCCCAGACUCCUACGGGAGGCAGCAGUGGGGAAUAUUGGACAAUGGGCGCAAGCCUGAUCCAGCAAUGCCGCGUGAGUGAUGAAGGCCUUAGGGUUGUAAAGCUCUUUUACCCGAGAUGAUAAUGACAGUAUCGGGAGAAUAAGCCCCGGCUAACUCCGUG